GAGACUCACUAACUAUAGAAAACAUGGCCAAAUGUAAUAUUACCCUUCUAAAGUCUAGGAUAAAUAACUUGGGGGUAAGGAUAACCAGUGGAAAAAGAAAAGGGCAGGGAUAUUUAUUCACAACACUUUGAGCUGGAAACCUACUGUGCUAUGUGGAAACUUCUGUCAAGUAUAAAACCAGCAUUUGACUAAACAUCUCCAAGAUGGAAAAGCCACCAACCCUAUUUCAGGAAAGAGGACUUGUUUUGGGAUCCAAAAUUCUUCCAUGGAAUUAAGUAGAAUGAAUCUUUUUGAACAAUGGAAAGUACACUGCUUCUGGAAUCAGAAAACCUGGGUUCAAAUACUACAAAAUGG